rnacentral:lncRNA from 1 species
CUUGCAUGUGUGUUCUUUAUAAAUAGGUGAUAGAAGGAGAGGCUGCUGUAAUUUUUCAACCAAUUUGUUUGGUUCUGACUGAUCAAAACCACUAUGUGUUCUGGCAAAUUAUAUAAAUUUUUAUGCAAGGUAGGAAAAACUUCACAAUCUCUUAUUAAGAAAAAUAUAAGUUGUAGUCAACAGAAUUUGAUAAUUUUGUAGAUAUUUUAUUAUGUGUCUAACAAAUGAAAAUGUAAUAACUUACCUUGUGAAUUUGUUUAUGUAUUUGUUUCUUACAAAGUGUUUUAUUAAAAUGAUGAUUUGGCAAAAAAUGUAAAAUAGUUUUAAAUACACCUUACUCAGUUGAACUUUUAUGUAUUUCCUUACUCAUAUUUUCUUUUUUUUUUCCAGGAGAAUUUUUUGUCUUUGAAGCCAGACUAUUUGUAACUACCUUGGACUCAAAAAUAAACUAAAAGCAGUUUAUCUGCCUUUAUUUGUUUACAUAUUUAUAAUUUACUAAGCCAUGUGAGGUCCUCAUGUCAUGCAAUAAAAGAGUGGUUAUCCACAAGAAUGAAACCAUUACUAUGGAAAAGCUUCUGGAUCUGUUUGUGGGGGAAAACCAGGUGUUCAGUUUGAGAAGAGAAUGACUGAGAGAUGAAUGGGAUUGAAUCAGGAAUUUUGUUGGUAUCUGUUUGAAGAAUUG